rnacentral:rRNA from 1 species
UACGAAGGGGGCUAGCGUUGCUCGGAAUCACUGGGCGUAAAGGGCGCGUAGGCGGCGUUUUAAGUCGGGGGUGAAAGCCUGUGGCUCAACCACAGAAUGGCCUUCGAUACUGGGACGCUUGAGUAUGGUAGAGGUUGGUGGAACUGCGAGUGUAGAGGUGAAAUUCGUAGAUAUUCGCAAGAACACCGGUGGCGAAGGCGGCCAACUGGACCAUUACUGACGCUGAGGCGCGAAAGCGUGGGGAGUAAACAGG